rnacentral:rRNA from 1 species
CCCAGACUCCUACGGGAGGCAGCAGUGGGGAAUAUUGCACAAUGGGGGAAACCCUGAUGCAGCAACGCCGCGUGAAGGAAGACGGUUUUCGGAUUGUAAACUUCUAUCAAUAGGGAAGAAAGAAAUGACGGUACCUAAAUAAGAAGCCCCGGCUAACUACGUGCCAGCAGCCGCGGUAAUACGUAGGUGGCAAGCGUUGUCCGGAUUUACUGGGUGUAAAGGGCGUGUAGCCGGGAAGGCAAGUCAGAUGUGAAAUCUGGAGGCUCAACCUCCAAAUUGCAUUUGAAACUGUUUUUCUUGAGUACUGGAGAGGCAGACGGAAUUCCUUGUGUAGCGGUGAAAUGCGUAGAUAUAAGGAGGAACACCAGUGGCGAAGGCGGUCUGCUGGACAGCAACUGACGGUGAGGCGCGAAAGCGUGGGGAGCAAACAGGAUUAGAUACCCGGGUA